ACACAACGCGAUCCCGAAUCUCCUAUUUCCCUGUUUAUUCCCUAGUAAUAAUCCAUGUUGCGUUCCUCUUCUCCUCUCCGGUUACCUCCGCCGGUGAAUGGAAACAACAUUGUCGCCAUUCCUUUAGACUGCGCAGCGUUACCCAGGUUAUGCGGGAUCGUGAAACACUCCAUGAAUUAUUAUGGUGAUCAUUAUUUUGCCGCUACAGCUGCAAGCUUUUCUCUUCUUAUAUUUAUUUAUUUAUUGUUGAGUAUUGAUAGUCCUGGCACGGAGCGAGCAGAAUGGCAAAUUACCCACCAAGAGGAGAACGCGGCAGAAUUUCAAUCCAGGCGGCAGCGCAUCCCUUACAAGCGUUUAUCUAAAUUCUACCAGCUGUUGUCAGUGCGGGCGAACGCUUAUCCCCGGAUGGUCCCUGCCAAGCCGACUAGUAUUAAUACAGACCAGGAAGCAGGGCCCCGUGCUCGCACCCGUUCGUGGUGUACACCCAGAGAUAUUCGGGGAAGAUCAUUUGAUGCAUCAUUAAACCUUGGAAUCCUCCUCGUACAGCAGCAGGAACAUUGACAUUCUACAGACAUACAGACUGCUGCAGACAGGAACUCCGGUGUAUGUGGAUCCACUGGACCUGUGUGGCAGAUGACUCGGACUGUGCCGCAAAGCAGGAAGGACUUGCAGCUGCAGGCGACACCCAGGUCGCUAUCCCCGGCAACGGCUUGACCACUCAGGUGGCUGAGGAGAUGCAAAGCACAGAAGGGAAGAGACAAAUCGUAGUCAGGAUAGCUGUAGGUCAGGCGGCACAGUAGCGUAGUCGGGAUGUAGCAGAAGUUCAGUAGGCAGGCGGCAGAGAAGCAAGGUCAAGGCCACGAGAGCAGGAGAUCUGGUACACGGCAAGGCAAUACAAAGGAACGCUUUCUCUAGGGCACAAGGCAACAAAGAUCCGGCAGAGAACUGAGGAGGAUGGAGGAAUUUAUCAACAAGACACAGGUGGUUAUACUAAUGAGCAUACUGGCCUUUUAAAUCUUAAAGCUCCGACGCGCGCGUGCCCUAAGUGACGGGGACACGCGCGCCGGAGCAGAGAGGCGGCAGCAGAGGCAGGGGAAGCACCCGGAGAGUGACGGACUGGGGCUUGCAUGAGGGUGCGUCCCGCAAUACGAGUCCCAGUUCCGUCGGCAGCAGAAGGUAAGAGGACCAUGCGCUCACGGCCAGGGUGUGAGGCCGGAGCGCAUAGCAUAACAAUGAGGCAGUAUAAUAGUAGUUAUAUUCAUGUAUAUAGGAGCAGUAUUAUAAUAUUUAUAUUCAUGUAUAUAGGAGCAAUAUUAUAGUAUUUAUGUUCUUGUAUAUAGUGGGGCUGCAUACAAAAAUACAAAAACAGAGCUUCCUAUCGGGCAGUAUGUUUGGACUAGGUGGAAGAAAUAGGUGGAUAUGAAUGAUGAUCUCACCUUGCAAGGUUGUGUUGGCACACAACAACCUUGUGGACGUCUGGUAGAUAUGAUCCCUUUGGAUAUUGUUUGCGGUGCAGCCGUCCGGGUUGCUCGAGAUGUGUGGCAGCACACUCGAUAAGCUGGUUUGCGGGGUCUGGAAAAAAGGUUCCCGGGAUGUUCGGCGCCAACCGUAGAUGGAAUAAAGAUGUGGGAAAGUGUGACAUUUGUCCUUUCAUUGGAAACCACAACGAACAACAAGGUUUCCACCACCUACAGCAUCAAAGUGCUAACCUUAGACCCCAGAGGUUAACAUGGACAUUUACUUUGGAUUGUCUCGCGAAUUAUGGGUCAACUUUGAAGUUCAACGUCAUUGAAGAUCUUCUAUUGGUUUAGUGAUUCUAAUGGAAUUCAUCUAAUUUGGAAUCUCACGGGAAGCGGGGACUUAAUUUAACCAAAAUUAAGUAUUUUAAAAUCAAUAUUCUAUUAAGUAUUUGUGGACUUUUGACCGUGCCUUCUCUGCCCUUUAAAGGUGAUAACUUUAAUGGAAAAAAAUAAAUCAAAAAGACGCAUUUAGGUUGAGUGAACAGAGUUUAAAAGGAAUAUUAUUCUGUGAUUUAUUUUUUCCAAAUGUUUGCAAUUUAAAUGUUUUACAAAAUUUUAAGAUGAUAUGUUCUGUAUUGUAAUUUCUCACAUAAAGGCCUUAUAAUGGGAA